rnacentral:rRNA from 1 species
GACGAACGCUGGCGGCGUGCUUAACACAUGCAAGUCGAGCGGUAAGGCCUCUUUCGGGGGGUACACGAGCGGCGAACGGGUGAGUAACACGUGGGUGACCUGCCUUCAGCUCUGGGAUAAGCUUGGGAAACUGGGUCUAAUACCGGAUAUGACCUUCUGCCGCAUGGUGGGGGUGGAAAGUUUUUCGGCUGGAGAUGGGCCCGCGGCCUAUCAGCUUGUUGGUGGGGUGAUGGCCUACCAAGGCGA